GGCAAAUGUGAGAUGCASUGUAUGGAAUGUCAAAUUUCUAGUAUGAGAAAUUMWCGAYUUAAGUCCUUCUUAAAUGAGGCCAUUUACCCAAAGAGGGUGCCAGGCCCGUAUAACGUUAAUGAUUACUAGAUGGCAUUUCCAAAGAGUCGUGUUGCUUGAUAGUGCAGCACUAAGUGGGUGGUAAACUCCAUCUAAAACUAAAUAUAACCAUGAGACCGAUAGUAAACAAGUACCGUGAGGGAAAGUUGAAAAGAACUCUGAAUAGAGAGUUAAAUAGUACGUGAAACUGCUUAGAGGUUAAGCCCGAUGAACCUGAAUAUCCAUUAUGGAAAAUUCAUCAUUACGAUUAUGAUAUWUAUUAUAUGGUGUGUGUGUGUGGUUUUUAUUUACUGCACAUACAAUAUAAAAAACAUAUAAAUUAUGUUAUAAUAAUGGUGUGCAUUUUUUCCAUAAAAAGGACAUUGUAAUCUAUUAACAUAUUAUAUUUAAAUAUUUAUCAUAAGAUCAAUAGCAAGAGUUUAUUCAAAUUAUUUUGUUAUUCAAUUUAACAUAGAAUAAAUGCUUUUGAUUUGAUAAAGUGUUGAUAGAUUCAUUAUUAGAAUAUAGUGCUUAAAUAUAUAUGUAUAUAUAUAUUUUAUAAUGGCGUAUAAUAUAAAAAAUAAUUAAUUUUAUUAAUUUUUUUUUUUGUAUGCUUAUUAUAUGCACUUAUAUGAUUAACAAUGCGAAAGAUUCAGGAUACCUUCGGGACCCGUCUUGAAACACGGACCAAGGAGUCUAACAUAUUUGCAAGUUAUUGGGAAUUUAAAAACCUAAUAGCGAAAUUAACAUAACUUAAUUUUUUCAAAUGUAAUUAUAUAUAUUUUAUAUAUAUAUAUGUUAUGUAUGAAAUUUGGGAUUAGUUUUUAAGACUAUAUUUUUCAUACAGUCUUAUUAAUUCAAUCCCGGGGCGUUCUAUAAAGUUAUGUAUAAUAAUAUUUAUAUUAUUUAUACCUCUAACUAGAGCGUACCCUGAGCAUAUAUGCUGUGACCCGAAAGAUGGUGAACUAUACUUGAUCAGGUUGAAGUCAGGGGAAACCCUGAUGGAAGACCGAAACAGUUCUGACGUGCAAAUCGAUUGUCAGAAUUGAGUAUAGGGGCGAAAGACCAAUCGAACCAUCUAGUAGCUGGUUCCCUCCGAAGUUUCCCUCAGGAUAGCUGGUGCAUUUAAAAAUAAUGUAAAAUAAUCUUAUCUGGUAAAGCGAAUGAUUAGAGGCCUUAGGGUCGAAACGACCUUAACCUAUUCUCAAACUUUAAAUGGGUAAGAACCUCACCUUACUUGGUAUGAAGGUUGUGGUUGUGAUAUAAUGUGCCCAGUGGGCCACUUUUGGUAAGCAGAACUGGCGCUGUGGGAUGAAYCWAACGUAAUGUUWCGGUGCCCAAAUURRCAACUYAUGCAGAUACCAUGAAAGGCG
rnacentral:rRNA from 1 species